UGUUGAUUUUGCAACUUGACCUACUUGAUAGUCUCAUCGGGCCCAUCUAAAAUCUGUCAAAACAAAAACAAAAUAUCAGAUGGUACCUUUGGUCACUUCUUCAUUACCUGAGAAUCAUUAAUAUUUAAAGUAUUUCUGAUAUGUGAAUAUCACAAAAUACGAGGAUGUCAAUAACGAAACAGAGCAAAUAAUUGUGUAGAUUUCAGACUUCCAGUAAGCAUGGAGCGUGUCAAGAUCAUCAGGAACAGCAUUUCUGAAUUACCUUCAGGUAAUAUAUAAUCCAUGGAUACCUGGUUGGCUACAUCAUCGUACACGUGCAUACACGAUAUAUAUAUGAAAUUAUAUACGGGCAUAGUUUCCCAUGCUGGAUACACAUUUGACCAAUUGCACUGAUCGGAAGGACGAGCUCUUUACCUAGGCGCCUUACUUUGAGGAAAUUUCUCAAGGCAGUUACAUAGCAAGCUCAAGUUCUGUGGUGAAACUUUGAAGAAAGCAUUCAACGAGGACUUGAGUAAACCUUAUUCUUUUCUAUGGCCGUAUGCUCAUGAUUCACAGAAGCUUCGAAUAAGGAGUACUCGCAGAAAUAUGUAUCAGCCACGACCGAUGAUUACUUCGGAAAAGAGUAAACCAAUUGAAGUGUUUCGACACAUAAACAAAACUAGUUCAGAGAAACGCGUAUUUCAGUCAAAAUUUUAAAAAUGCACUUUGUUUAAUAUAUGUAUUGUUUGGAGCAUGAAUAAACUUGUAAUUUAUAA